AACGCGAAGAACCUUACCUGGGCUUGACAUGUGCCUGACCGCCGUGGAAACACGGCUUCCCUUCGGGGCAGGUUCACAGGUGGUGCAUGGCUGUCGUCAGCUCGUGUCGUGAGAUGUUGGGUUAAGUCCCGCAACGAGCGCAACCCCCGUCGCAUGUUGCCAGCAUUUAGUUGGGGACUCAUGCGAGACUGCCGGUGACAAACCGGAGGAAGGUGGGGAUGACGUCAAGUCAUCAUGCCCCUUAUGUCCAGGGCUACACACGUGCUACAUUGGCGCAUACAGAGGGCUGCGAUACCGCGAGGUGGAGCGAAUCCCUUAAAGUGCGUCUCGGUUCGGAUUGCAGGCUGAAACUCGCCUGCAUGAAGGCGGAGUUGCUAGUAAUCGCGGAUCAGCAUUGCCGCGGUGAAUACGUUCCCGGGCCUUGUACACACCGACUGUAC
rnacentral:rRNA from 1 species